CCUAGCAAAGGAGUGCGGCGCUUGGUUCCCCUAGCAACCGGGCUCAGCGAGGAGGUGCCGGCUGCGUACAGUGCCGGCGACUCUGAGAGCCCGGGGCCGAGAGGCUGCAGGAGGACUUGACCUUUUCCCGGAGGAGCCCGCCGGCCGCCCCACCUGGAGGAGAGCGCGCAGGCCCCUGGCAUCCCCUCCCGGCCGCACGCCGAUCAGGGCCGUCAGGCCUUGUGGGGAGAGAAGCUGAGGAAGCCUUCCCUUCGGGCGCAUGCCCCAGAGAGACCUUUGAGGUCCCACCCCCGGCCUCCGGGCCAGAGAGAGAGAGGAUGAACCGGCUGUGCGACAUGGAGCCCAGGGUGAUGGAUGAUGAGAUGCUCAAGCUGGCCGUUGGGGAGCAGGGCCCGCGAGACGAGGCCGGGCAGCUGGCCAAGCAGGAGGGCAUCCUUUUCAAGGACGUCCUGUCCCUGCAGCUGGACUUCCAGAACAUCCUCCGCAUCGACAGCCUCUGGCAGUUUGAGAACCUGCGGAAGCUGCAGCUGGACAACAACGUCAUCGAGAAGAUCGAGGGCCUGGAGAACCUCACACACCUGGUCUGGCUGGACCUGUCCUUCAACAACAUUGAGGCCAUCGAGGGGCUGGACACGCUGGUGAACCUGGAGGACCUGAGCCUGUUCAACAACCGGAUCUCCAAGAUCGACUCGCUGGACGCGCUGGCCAAGCUGCAGGUGCUGUCGCUGGGCAACAACCAGAUCGGCAACAUGAUGAACAUCAUCUACCUGCGGCGGUUCAAGGACCUGCGGACGCUCAGCCUCUCGGGGAACCCGGUCGCCGAGGCCGAGGACUACAGGACGUGCAUCUGUGCCUACCUCCCCGACCUGGUGUACCUGGACUUCCGGCGCAUCGACGACCAAACGAAAGAGCUGGCGGAGAUGAAACACCAGUACAGCGUCGACGAGCUGAAGCACCGGGAGAGCCUGAUGCAGGCCCGGCUGGAGGAUGAGCGGGCCCGGCGGGAGGAGCUGGCGGAGCACGAGGCGGCCUUCGUGGAGCACCUGAACGGCCCCUUCCUGUUUGACAGCAUGUACGCCGAGGACGUGGAGGGUAGCCAGCUGUCCCACCUGCCCGGCGUGGGCGAGCUCUUGCAGACCUACAAGGACAAGUUCGUCAUCAUCUGCCUGAACAUCUUCGAGUACGGCCUGAAGCAGCAGGAGAAGCGGAAGGCGGAGCUCGACACCUUCAUGGGGUGUGUCCAGGAGGCCGUCCAGGAAAAGCAGGAGCAGGGCAAGCACAAGAUCGCCAAGUUCGAGGAGAAGCACUUGCUGAGUUUAAGCUCCAUCCGAGACGAGUCUGAACUGACCAACUUCGAGAUAAAGAUGGCGGAGUACAGCGAGGACAUCACCGAGCUGGCCAACGUGCUCAUGACGCUGGAGAUGCAGCUGGUGGAGCAGCUGGAGGAGACUAUUAACAUGUUUGAAAGGAACAUCAUCGACUUGGUGGGACUCUUUGUCGAAAACGUCCAAAGCCUGAUGGCUCAGUGCCGGGACCUGGAGAACCACCACCACGAGAAGCUCCUGGAGAUCGCCAUCAGCACCCUGGAGAAGAUAGUCAAGGGCGAGCUGGACGAGGACCUGCCAGACGCCGUGCGUUCGGAGCCCACCCUGGAGCCGCCUGGCAGACCACCUAGCGGUCGUGGAGUUUUUGACGCAAGGCUCCGGGGUCUGUGACACCUCUCUGAGGACUGGGACACGCAGAAAAGGAGGCCCCGAAGUCAACGGGAGAGACGCUAACAUUUCAAAAUCCAUAGACUGUAUUCUGGAGAUCGUUAGGUUAACCACCCCGGAAGGAGAGACAAACCCACGUGUACACACCCGCCCACGCCCUCUCUACAUCGCAGAGCUUUCAGGUCCCUUGCCGUCGCUGGUGACAUGAAGCGCCUCCGCUUAAAGCUGAAGCAGCCGCCAGUGAAGGCCUCCCCACUCUGGGAAGUGACCACGUGGACCCGCAGCCGUGCCGGGCACACGUGGCCUGUUCACGUGUGAACACCUGGAACCGGCUGGGCCUGGCGGGGGCCGCGUCCCACAGCGUCGUCCACGGCGGGGAAGCGGGUGGGAACAAGGCAGGAGCCCAGAUGGGACCCCAGGUCCGACUGGGUUGACGUGAGGGGCAGCAGAGACCCAUCGGUUUAUGGGACUUCUGUCCUCAGAGGAGCCCUGUGCCCCUUGGCCGGCCUCGUGCUGCCCACCUGACGGGCAAGUUUCAGGCAAGUCAGACUGGAGAACCUUGGUGAGGUGGCCGGGGCGGCCCUGCCUUCUCUUGGGGAGGGCACGCUCCCCACAGGGACUGCCCCGCCGCCCAGGGGCCCUUUCCGGUCACUGGUGCCGCCGGGCCGACGGCGUGGUCACCCGAGACGGGCCCGAGGAAGCAGGAUGCGGGCUGGGCGCCGCCUCCACCUGUGGGGAGCUGGGCCCCGUCCCCUCUGGCUCCAGCGCCUCUGCGCUCGGGGCGGGUCCAGGCCCUCACCUGCUCCUCCUU